CGUUGGUCAAGUUUUCCAUCUUCCUUUGUCUGCUUAAUAAUAAUAUUGACACAUCAAGCAAUGGUAGACUAUUUAAUUAUGGCCUGGCUACAUGGUGAAAAUAAUGGACAAAUAUUAAACCAUUUGUGUGAGGGCACUGAAAAGCUAUUGCAGCAGCAAGGAUUAGAGAUUACCAAGAUCUUGAAAAGAAGAGAAGUCCAGAGAGGAGAACUGAUUUUGAGUGUUAGACAUUUUCUUACUGAAAAGUGACAGUUGGGUGGCUGAUAGGCUGAGUGGAAAGUGGCUGAACCAUUAGGAGAAAUGCAGAACCAACUCUCACAGGUCUGGGUGGACAGACCCACCAAGGAGGAGGACUUCAAUCCAGGACCUCAGCUGCAUCCCCUACAGCGAAUCUUUGUAUUCUGCUCUUCCUUUCAUCGCUCCAGUUGCCCCUGAACACAGAGAUAGGUCAGUGAAGCCAAAUGGACCGGAUUUACAUCAGCUGCUAAGGCAAUCUUCAUGCAUAGAUCAACUGUCUGCUCCUUUUACAGUUUUAGUGAGACCUCUAAGGAGACAAAAGCGUUCAAAACAGACACAUGUGUACACAUACCUGCCCAUAUGCUGCAGCCCUGAGGGUGGAGACUAGUGUCCAUCCAAGAAGUUCUGAACAGGAGAAGAGGCAAGGACAAGUUGGAGACUUGUGAAAUUCCCGAAGCAGGGGGUAGCCUGACAUCAGAAUUGUUUACAAAAGGCAUGAAAAAGCGCUUUCAAUCUGUAGUCUUUUAGCUGUCUACCACUGGACGAAGAACUACCCAAACCAAGCCAGAUCUUGCUACCCUGAUGAAUCAGACCUGCCACUCAAGCAUAGUGUUAAAUGAUAUUAGCACAAAGGCAAUCACUCAGGUACUUCAAACUGCAUCUUAUCUACUGAUAGAAGAAAUGAAAGAUAGCAUUUAGUCUCUCUUAUGUGCAUUUUGUGCUAUGGUAGAUUUACAUCUGUUUCUAUUACCUGGGUAGGCGUGCACUGUUUUAUUUCCUCUCCAGGGAGUCUGUCCUUUAAAGCUGUGAUGUGGGCCCUGAACCUCCACUGCUAAAUUGCUACUUGGAAGGUGGACAUCAUCAUCAAGCACAGAAAACUUUGUAUUCUGGCACUUGGCAGGCUUAACUAAGGCUUGGACCCCUUCUCUAGUUAAAGAUGAUUUCCAAUACAUAAAACUGUUUUUAAGUGUUAAAAACCUGAAAAAGCAAAGCAUCUCCUGAUUUCAAGAAAUCUGUGUUAUGAUAUAUAUAUGAACUCAAGGGUCUAGAUUUGUAUUGUCCUUAUGGCAGCCAGCAG